ACACCAAGAAAUUAAGUCAUAUAUUAAUGGUAAAAAGACAGUUAGAUGUUUAGUUUUUUAGGUUAAUUAAAUGCUUUACAUAGAGGUAAAAUUCAAGUGUAGUUGUAUAGCCUGUAAAUAACUUGAAGAUUGAAUCUGUGAAAUCCUUAAGGGAAACUGGGAUUAGGUACCCCAUUAUUUUCGGAUAUAAAUCAACAAUAUUUACCAGAGUACUAUGAAUAUUAAAAAUUUAAAACUCAAAGGACUUGGCGGUGUUUUAGACCACUUAGGGGAACCUGUCUCGUAAUCGAUAAUCCACGAUAUACCUGACCUUUUUUUGUUAUCAGUUUGUAUACCGUUGUCGUCAGGUAACUUUUUAGAAAUUAGGAGUUAGCAAUUGAGAAACAAAUGGAAUAAUUCGUUACGUCAAAUCAAGGUGCAGCCAAUAAAAAGGGGAGGAUGGGUUACAAUUAUAUAAGUUAUAAUAACGGAAGGAUACACGAAGUUUGUAUGACUACAAGGUGGACUUAAAAGUAAAUUAAAUUACAUAGAUAAUUUGAAUAAGGCUCUGAAACGUGU
rnacentral:rRNA from 1 species